rnacentral:rRNA from 1 species
GAUGAACGCUGGCGGCGUGCCUAAUACAUGCAAGUCGAGCGAACAGACGAGGAGCUUGCUCCUCUGACGUUAGCGGCGGACGGGUGAGUAACACGUGGAUAACCUACCUAUAAGACUGGGAUAACUUCGGGAAACCGGAGCUCAUACCGGAUAAUAUAUUGAACCGCAUGGUUCAAUAGUGAAAGACGGUUUUGCUGUCACUUAUAGAUGGAUCCGCGCCGCAUUAGCUAGUUGGUAAGGUAACGGCUUACCAAGGCAACGAUGCGUAGCCGACCUGAGAGGGUGAUCGGCCACACUGGAACUGAGACACGGUCCAGACUCCUACGGGAGGCAGCAGUAGGGAAUCUUCCGCAAUGGGCGAAAGCCUGACGGAGCAACGCCGCGUGAGUGAUGAAGGUCUUCGGAUCGUAAAACUCUGUUAUUAGGGAAGAACAAAUGUGUAAGUACCUAUGCACGUCUUGACGGUACCUAAUCAGAAAGCCACGGCUAACUACGUG